rnacentral:rRNA from 1 species
GGCGAACGCUGGCGGCGUGCUUAACACAUGCAAGUCGAACGGAAAGGCCCUGCUUGCGUGGUACUCUAGUGUCGAACGGGUGAGUAACACGUGGGUGAUCUGCCCUGCACUUCUUGAUAUGCCUUGGAAACUGUGUCUAUUACCGGAUAGGAGCCAUUUUGAUGGUUAUUGUUGGAUAGUUUUUUCGGUGUAGGAUGAGCUCACGGCCUAUCAGCUUGUUGGUGGGUUAAUGGCCUACCAAGGCGGCGACGGGUAGCCGGCCUGGGAGGGUGGACGGCCAAAAUGGGGAUGGGAUAAGGGCCCGACUCCUAAGGGAGGCAGGAGUGGGGAAAAUUGCACAAUGGGCGGAAGCCUGAUGCAGCGAAGCCGCGUGGGGGAUGACGGGCUUCGGGUUGUAAAACCCUUUCGCUAGGGAAGAAGCUUUUUGUGACGGUACCUAGAUAAGAAGCACCGGCUAACUACGUG